rnacentral:rRNA from 1 species
GAUGAACGCUGGCGGCGUGCCUAAUACAUGCAAGUCGAGCGAACGGACGAGAAGCUUGCUUUUCUGAUGUUAGCGGCGGACGGGUGAGUAACACGUGGAUAACCUACCUAUAAGACUGGGAUAACUUCGGGAAACCGGAGCUAAUACCGGAUAAUAUUUUGAACCGCAUGGUUCAUAAGUGAAAGACGGUCUUGCUGUCACUUAUAGAUGGAUCCGCGCUGCAUUAGCUAGUUGGUAAGGUAACGGCUUACCAAGGCAACGAUGCAUAGCCGUCCUGAGAGGGUGAUCGGCCACACUGGAACUGAGACACGGUCCAGACUCCUACGGGAGGCAGCAGUAGGGAAUCUUCCGCAAUGGGCGAAAGCCUGACGGAGCAACGCCGCGUGAGUGAUGAAGGUCUUCGGAUCGUAAAACUCUGUUAUUAGGGAAGAACAUAUGUGUAAGUAACUGUGCACAUCUUGACGGUACCUAAUCAGAAAGCCACGGCUAACUACGUG